AUACGUAGGGGGCGAGCGUUGUCCGGAAUGACUAGGCGUAAAGGGCGUGUAGGCGGCGGUGUAAGUCUGGAGUGAAAGUCCCGCAUUCAAUGUGGGAAUUGCUUUGGAUACUGCAGUGCUAGAGUGCGGAAGAGGUAAGUGGAAUUCCCAGUGUAGCGGUGAAAUGCGUAGAGAUUGGGAGGAACACCAGUGGUGAAGGCGACUUACUGGGCCGUAACUGACGCUGAGGCGCGAAAGCGUGGGGAGCGAACAGGAUUAGAUACCCUGGUAGUCCACGCGGUAAACGAUGAAUGCUAGGUGUUGCGGGUAUCGACCCCUGCAGUGCCGGAGUAAACACAAUAAGCAUUCCGCCUGGGGAGUACGGCCGCAAGGUUGAAACUCAAAUGAAUUGACGGGG
rnacentral:rRNA from 1 species